GACGAACGCUGGCGGCGUGCUUAACACAUGCAAGUCGAACGGAAAGGCCCUGCUUUUGUGGGGUGCUCGAGUGGCGAACGGGUGAGUAACACGUGAGUAACCUGCCCUUGACUUUGGGAUAACUUCAGGAAACUGGGGCUAAUACCGGAUAGGAGCUCCUGCUGCAUGGUGGGGGUUGGAAAGUUUCGGCGGUUGGGGAUGGACUCGCGGCUUAUCAGCUUGUUGGUGGGGUAGUGGCUUACCAAGGCUUUGACGGGUAGCCGGCCUGAGAGGGUGACCGGCCACAUUGGGACUGAGAUACGGCCCAGACUCCUACGGGAGGCAGCCGUGGGGAAUAUUGCACAAUGGGCGGAAGCCUGAUGCAGCAACGCCGCGUGCGGGAUGACGGCCUUCGGGUCGUAAACCGCUUUCGCCUGUGACGAAGCGUGAGUGACGGUAAUGGGUAAAGAAGCACCGGCUAACUACGUG
rnacentral:rRNA from 1 species